GGUUAAGCGACUAAGCGUACACGGUGGAUGCCCUGGCAGUCAGAGGCGAUGAAGGACGUGCUAAUCUGCGAUAAGCGUCGGUAAGGUGAUAUGAACCGUUAUAACCGGCGAUUUCCGAAUGGGGAAACCCAGUGUGUUUCGACACACUAUCAUUAACUGAAUCCAUAGGUUAAUGAGGCGAACCGGGGGAACUGAAACAUCUAAGUACCCCGAGGAAAAGAAAUCAACCGAGAUUCCCCCAGUAGCGGCGAGCGAACGGGGAGCAGCCCAGAGCCUGAAUCAGUGUGUGUGUUAGUGGAAGCGUCUGGAAAGGCGCGCGAUACAGGGUGACAGCCCCGUACACAAAAAUGCACAUGCUGUGAGCUCGAUGAGUAGGGCGGGACACGUGGUAUCCUGUCUGAAUAUGGGGGGACCAUCCUCCAAGGCUAAAUACUCCUGACUGACCGAUAGUGAACCAGUACCGUGAGGGAAAGGCGAAAAGAACCCCGGCGAGGGGAGUGAAAAAGAACCUGAAACCGUGUACGUACAAGCAGUGGGAGCACGCUUCGGCGUGUGACUGCGUACCUUUUGUAUAAUGGGUCAGCGACUUAUAUUCUGUAGCAAGGUUAACCGAAUAGGGGAGCCGAAGGGAAACCGAGUCUUAACUGGGCGUUAAGUUGCAGGGUAUAGACCCGAAACCCGGUGAUCUAGCCAUGGGCAGGUUGAAGGUUGGGUAACACUAACUGGAGGACCGAACCGACUAAUGUUGAAAAAUUAGCGGAUGACUUGUGGCUGGGGGUGAAAGGCCAAUCAAACCGGGAGAUAGCUGGUUCUCCCCGAAAGCUAUUUAGGUAGCGCCUCGUGAAUUCAUCUCCGGGGGUAGAGCACUGUUUCGGCAAGGGGGUCAUCCCGACUUACCAACCCGAUGCAAACUGCGAAUACCGGAGAAUGUUAUCACGGGAGACACACGGCGGGUGCUAACGUCCGUCGUGAAGAGGGAAACAACCCAGACCGCCAGCUAAGGUCCCAAAGUCAUGGUUAAGUGGGAAACGAUGUGGGAAGGCCCAGACAGCCAGGAUGUUGGCUUAGAAGCAGCCAUCAUUUAAAGAAAGCGUAAUAGCUCACUGGUCGAGUCGGCCUGCGCGGAAGAUGUAACGGGGCUAAACCAUGCACCGAAGCUGCGGCAGCGACGCUUAUGCGUUGUUGGGUAGGGGAGCGUUCUGUAAGCCUGUGAAGGUGUGCUGUGAGGCAUGCUGGAGGUAUCAGAAGUGCGAAUGCUGACAUAAGUAACGAUAAAGCGGGUGAAAAGCCCGCUCGCCGGAAGACCAAGGGUUCCUGUCCAACGUUAAUCGGGGCAGGGUGAGUCGACCCCUAAGGCGAGGCCGAAAGGCGUAGUCGAUGGGAAACAGGUUAAUAUUCCUGUACUUGGUGUUACUGCGAAGGGGGGACGGAGAAGGCUAUGUUGGCCGGGCGACGGUUGUCCCGGUUUAAGCGUGUAGGCUGGUUUUCCAGGCAAAUCCGGAAAAUCAAGGCUGAGGCGUGAUGACGAGGCACUACGGUGCUGAAGCAACAAAUGCCCUGCUUCCAGGAAAAGCCUCUAAGCAUCAGGUAACAUCAAAUCGUACCCCAAACCGACACAGGUGGUCAGGUAGAGAAUACCAAGGCGCUUGAGAGAACUCGGGUGAAGGAACUAGGCAAAAUGGUGCCGUAACUUCGGGAGAAGGCACGCUGAUAUGUAGGUGAAGUCCCUCGCGGAUGGAGCUGAAAUCAGUCGAAGAUACCAGCUGGCUGCAACUGUUUAUUAAAAACACAGCACUGUGCAAACACGAAAGUGGACGUAUACGGUGUGACGCCUGCCCGGUGCCGGAAGGUUAAUUGAUGGGGUUAGCCGCAAGGCGAAGCUCUUGAUCGAAGCCCCGGUAAACGGCGGCCGUAACUAUAACGGUCCUAAGGUAGCGAAAUUCCUUGUCGGGUAAGUUCCGACCUGCACGAAUGGCGUAAUGAUGGCCAGGCUGUCUCCACCCGAGACUCAGUGAAAUUGAACUCGCUGUGAAGAUGCAGUGUACCCGCGGCAAGACGGAAAGACCCCGUGAACCUUUACUAUAGCUUGACACUGAACAUUGAGCCUUGAUGUGUAGGAUAGGUGGGAGGCUUAGAAGUGUGGACGCCAGUCUGCAUGGAGCCGACCUUGAAAUACCACCCUUUAAUGUUUGAUGUUCUAACGUUGACCCGUAAUCCGGGUUGCGGACAGUGUCUGGUGGGUAGUUUGACUGGGGCGGUCUCCUCCUAAAGAGUAACGGAGGAGCACGAAGGUUGGCUAAUCCUGGUCGGACAUCAGGAGGUUAGUGCAAUGGCAUAAGCCAGCUUGACUGCGAGCGUGACGGCGCGAGCAGGUGCGAAAGCAGGUCAUAGUGAUCCGGUGGUUCUGAAUGGAAGGGCCAUCGCUCAACGGAUAAAAGGUACUCCGGGGAUAACAGGCUGAUACCGCCCAAGAGUUCAUAUCGACGGCGGUGUUUGGCACCUCGAUGUCGGCUCAUCACAUCCUGGGGCUGAAGUAGGUCCCAAGGGUAUGGCUGUUCGCCAUUUAAAGUGGUACGCGAGCUGGGUUUAGAACGUCGUGAGACAGUUCGGUCCCUAUCUGCCGUGGGCGCUGGAGAACUGAGGGGGGCUGCUCCUAGUACGAGAGGACCGGAGUGGACGCAUCACUGGUGUUCGGGUUGUCAUGCCAAUGGCACUGCCCGGUAGCUAAAUGCGGAAGAGAUAAGUGCUGAAAGCAUCUAAGCACGAAACUUGCCCCGAGAUGAGUUCUCCCUGACCCUUUAAGGGUCCUGAAGGAACGUUGAAGACGACGACGUUGAUAGGCCGGGUGUGUAAGCGCAGCGAUGCGUUGAGCUAACCGGUACUAAUGAACCGUGAGGCUUAACCUU
rnacentral:rRNA from 1 species